GAUGAACGCUGGCGGCGUGCCUAAUACAUGCAAGUCGAGCGAACGGACGAGAAGCUUGCUUCUCUGAUGUUAGCGGCGGACGGGUGAGUAACACGUGGAUAACCUACCUAUAAGACUGGGAUAACUUCGGGAAACCGGAGCUAAUACCGGAUAAUAUUUUGAACCGCAUGGUUCAAAAGUGAAAGACGGUCUUGCUGUCACUUAUAGAUGGAUCCGCGCUGCAUUAGCUAGUUGGUAAGGUAACGGCUUACCAAGGCAACGAUGCAUAGCCGACCUGAGAGGGUGAUCGGACACACGGGAACAGAGAAACGGUCCAGACUCCUACGGUAGGAAGCAGUAGGGAAUCUUCCGCAAUGGGGGAAAGCCGGACGGAGCAAAGCCGCGUGAGUGAUGAAGGUCUUCGGAUCGUAAAACUCUGUUAUUAGGGAAGAACAUAUGUGUAAGUAACUGUGCACAUCUUGACGGUACCUAAUCAGAAAGCCACGGCUAACUACGUG
rnacentral:rRNA from 1 species